rnacentral:lncRNA from 1 species
CUUCAACAGCCCUUGGAUGGUCCUGUCUAGCAGGCCCUCCAACAAGAGCAAAGCCAGUAAGCGACACAACCGAAUGCACAAAAGGUUUCUUCGUCACUGGGUCAACAAGAUACUUCUCGACCGGUCCUGAAAAGUCAAGGCCACCAGCAAAAAUGGGAAUCACUUUAGCCCCUCUAGCCUCCAACUCCAUAAUCACUGCCACAUAAUGACUCUCAUCACCAGUAACAAUAUGACUCCUCUGCAAAAUGAGCCCAAUAACAGGAGAAUUACGAUCCUUCAACUUCUCAUUAGCAUCUUUUCUUGUUCCAUACCAAUUC